rnacentral:rRNA from 1 species
UACGUAGGGGGCAAGCGUUGUCCGGAUUUAUUGGGCGUAAAGAGCGUGUAGGCGGCUAGAUAGGUCCGUUGUGAAAACUCGAGGCUCAACCUCGAGACGUCGAUGGAAACCAUCUGGCUAGAGUCCGGAAGAGGAGAGUGGAAUUCCUGGUGUAGCGGUGAAAUGCGCAGAUAUCAGGAAGAACACCCGUGGCGAAGGCGGCUCUCUGGUACGUGACUGACGCUGAGACGCGAAAGCAUGGGGAGCAAACAGG